rnacentral:rRNA from 1 species
UGGGGAAUUUUGGACAAUGGGCGCAAGCCUGAUCCAGCCAUUCCGCGUGCAGGAUGAAGGCCCUCGGGUUGUAAACUGCUUUUGUACGGAACGAAAAGGCUUUCUCUAAUACAGAGAGCUCAUGACGGUACCGUAAGAAUAAGCACCGGCUAACUACGUGCCAGCAGCCGCGGUAAUACGUAGGGUGCAAGCGUUAAUCGGAAUUACUGGGCGUAAAGCGUGCGCAGGCGGUGAUGUAAGACAGAUGUGAAAUCCCCGGGCUCAACCUGGGAACUGCAUUUGUGACUGCAUCGCUGGAGUGCGGCAGAGGGGGGAUGGAAUUCCGCGUGUAGCAGUGAAAUGCGUAGAUAUGCGGAGGAACACCGAUGGCGAAGGCAAUCCCCUGGGCCUGCACUGACGCUCAUGCACGAAAGCGUGGGGGGCAAACAGGAUUAGAUACCCUGGGUAGUCCACGCCCUAAACGAUGUCAACUGGUUGUUGGGUCUUCACUGACUCAGUAACGAAGCUAACGCGUGAAGUUGACCGCCUGGGGAGUACGGCCGCAAGGUUGAAACUCAAAUGAAUUG